rnacentral:rRNA from 1 species
UGCCAACCGUGGCGUUAACGGAUAACAGAGAAUCUGGGUUCGAUUCUGGAGAGGCCGCAUGAGAAACGGCGACCACUUCUAAGGAAGGCAGCAGGCACGCAAAUUACCCACUUCGGACACCGAGAGGUAGUGACGAACAAUACCGAUGCGGCGCACUUACGUGUCGCCGUAAUCGGAAUGAGUACACUUCAAAUCCUUUAACGAGGAUCCACUGGAGGGCAAGCCUGGUGCCAGCAGCCGCGGUAAUUCCAGCUCCAGCAGCGUAUAUUUAUAUUGCUGCGUUUAAAAAGCUCGUAGUUGAAGCGUCAGACGCGGAAGGGCGGACGGCCGCACUGGUCGCUCUCGCCCGACCGAGCCAGGCGCAGAGGGCGCGCGUCGCUUGCACUUUACCGUGUGAGUGCGCCGCCGCUGCACGUUCACCUUGAAGAAAUUGAACCGCUUAGAGGGGGCGAGCAGCUUGAACAGCUCAGCAUGGUAUGAUGGAACAUGGGCUCGUACUCAUUUUGUUGGUUAGAGAGUCGGCGAGCCAAUGAUUAACAGGGACUGCCGGGGGCAUUAGUACUCGGACGGGAGAGGUGAAAUUCAAGGAUCGUCCGAAGACUCCCUACUGCGAAAGCAUUUGCCAAGAAUGUUUUCAUUAAUCAAGAACGAAAGUCAGAGGUGCGAAGGCGAUCAGAUACCGCCGUAGUUCUGACCGUAAACGUUGCCGACUGGCAAUUGGGCGCACUUCUGUCGAAGUUGCCGCCAGCAGUACUGCCCGGGAAACCAAAGUCAUUGGGUUCCGGGGGGAGUAUGGUUGCAAAGCUGAAACUUAAAGGAAUUGACGGAAGGGCACCACCAGGAGUGGAGCCUGCGGCUUAAUUUGACUCAACACGGGAAACCUCACCCGGCCCGAACACUGUUAUGACAGACAGGUUGAGAGCUCUUUCUCGAUUCAGUGGUUGGUGGUGCAUGGCCGUUCUUAGUUCGUGGAGCGAUCUGUCUGGUUAAUUCCGAUAACGAACGAGAUUCUUGCCUGCUAAAUAGACGGCGUCGACUGUGUGCGGCGACCGUUUGCUUCUUAGAGGGACAAGCGGCUUUUAGCCGCGUGAAGCUGAGAGCAAUAACAGGUCAGUGAUGCCCUCAGAUGUUCGGGGCCGCACGCGCGCUACACUGUUUGCAUCAGCGUGUUUCUCCCGCGCCGGUCGGCGCGGGCAACCCGUUGAACCGCAAACGUGCUAGGGAUCGGAGAUUGCAAUUGUUCUCCGUCAACGAGGAAUUCCUUGUACUGGCGAGUCAUCAGCUCGCGGGGAAUCUGUCCCUGCCCUUUGUACACACCGCCCGUCGCUACUACCGAUUGAGUGGUUUAGUGAGGCUCACGGACUGCGAGCGGCACCCGUCGGCUUCGGCCGUCAACGGCGUCGCGAGCGGAAAGUGAGACGAACUUGAUCACUUCUAGGAAGUAAAAGUCGUAACAAGGUUUUCGUAGGUGAACCUGCGUAAGGAUCA